GAUUGNGAAGGCAGCUUGCUGGACUGUAACUGACGCUGAGGCACGAAAGCGUGGGGAUCAAACAGGAUUAGAUANCNNGGUAGUNCACGCNNUAAACGAUGAAUGCUAGCUGUUAGCGAUAUACUGUUAGCGGCACAGAGAAAUCGUUAAGCAUUCCACCUGGGGAGUACGCCGGCAACGGUGAAACUCAAAGGAAUUGACGGGGGCCCGCACAAGCGGAGGAACAUGUGGUUUAAUUCGAUGAUACGCGAGGAACCUUACCUGGGCUUAAAUUGCAGUGGAAUAACGUGGAAACAUGUUAGCCUUCGGGCCGCUGUGAAGGUGCUGCAUGGUUGUCGUCAGCUCGUGCCGUGAGGUGUCGGCUUAAGUGCCAUAACGAGCGCAACCCUCAUCGAUAGUUACUAACAGGUUAAGCUGAGGACUCUAUCGAGACUGCCGACGUAAGUCGUGAGGAAGGUGGGGAUGACGUCAAAUCAGCACGGCCCUUACGUCCAGGGCUACACACGUGUUACAAUGGGGGGUACAAAGGGCAGCUACCUGGCGACAGGAUGCUAAUCUCAAAAACCUCUCUCAGUUCGGAUUGGAGUCUGCAACCCGACUCCAUGAAGCUGGAUUCGCUAGUAAUCGCGCAUCAGCCACGGCGCGGUGAAUACGUUCCCGGGCCUUGUACACACCGCCCGUCAAGCCAUGGGAGCCGGGGGGACCUGAAGUAUGCAACCGUAAGGAGCGUCCUAGGGUAAAACUGGUGACUGGGGCU
rnacentral:rRNA from 1 species